CAAUAGCGUAUAUUAAAGUUGUUGCGGUUAAAAAGCUCGUAGUUGGAUUUCUGCCGAGGACGACCGGUCCGCCCUCCGGGUGAGUAUCUGGUUUGGCCUGGGCAUCUUCUUGGAGAACGUAGCUGCACUUGACUGUGUGGUGCGGUGUCCAGGACUUUUACUUUGAGGAAAUUAGAGUGUUUCAAGCAGGCACACGCCUUGAAUACAUUAGCAUGGAAUAAUAAGAUAGGACCUCGGUUCUAUUUUGUUGGUUUCUAGAGCUGAGGUAAUGAUUAAUAGGGAUAGUUGGGGGCAUUCGUAUUUAACUGUCAGAGGUGAAAUUCUUGGAUUUGUUAGAGACGGACUACUGCGAAAGCAUUUGCCAAGGAUGUUUUCAUUGA
rnacentral:rRNA from 1 species